AACACGUGAUGACAAAAUGUUUCGGUCCCAGAUGAUCACCUGAUUACUGUCUCUUGAGAUCAACUGAUGUU